rnacentral:rRNA from 1 species
AACGCUAGCUACAGGCUUAACACAUGCAAGUCGAGGGGCAGCGAGGGCGUAGCAAUACGCCUGUCGGCGACCGGCGCACUGGUGAGUAACACGUAUGCGACCUGCCCCCUACAGGGGUAUAACCCGUAGAAAUGCGGACUAAUCCCCCAUAGUCCCGUUGGCUGCAUGGCCAUCGGGGGAAAGGCCAGCCGGUAGGGGAUGGGCAUGCGGCGCAUUAGCUAGUUGGCGGGGCAACGGCCCACCAAGGCGACGAUGCGUAGGGGUUCUGAGAGGAAGGUCCCCCACACUGGUACUGAGACACGGACCAGACUCCUACGGGAGGCAGCAGUGAGGAAUAUUGGUCAAUGGGCGCAGGCCUGAACCAGCCAAGUCGCGUGAGGGAGGACGGUCCUACGGAUUGUAAACCUCUUUUGUCGGGGAGUAACGUGCGGGACGCGUCCCGUAUUGAGAGUACCCGAAGAAAAAGCAUCGGCUAACUCCGUGCCAGCAGCCGCGGUAAUACGGAGGAUGCGAGCGUUAUCCGGAUUUAUUGGGUUUAAAGGGUGCGCAGGCGGCGCGCCAAGUCAGCGGUCAAAGUUCCGGGCUCAACCCGGUGUCGCCGUUGAAACUGGCGUGCUCGAGUGCGUGCGAGGAAGGCGGAAUGCGUUGUGUAGCGGUGAAAUGCAUAGAUAUGACGCAGAACUCCGAUUGCGAAGGCAGCUUUCCAGCGCGCUACUGACGCUGAGGCACGAAAGCGUGGGGAUCGAACAGGAUUAGAUACCCUGGUAGUCCACGCAGUAAACGAUGACUACUAGCUUUCCGGGGCGACUGAGCUUUGGGAGGCACAGCGAAAGCGUUAAGUAGUCCACCUGGGGAGUACGCCGGCAACGGUGAAACUCAAAGGAAUUGACGGGGGCCCGCACAAGCGGAGGAACAUGUGGUUUAAUUCGAUGAUACGCGAGGAACCUUACCCGGGCUCAAACGACAGCGGACAGCGCCUGAAAGGGCGUCUCCGGCAACGGCCGCUGUCGAGGUGCUGCAUGGUUGUCGUCAGCUCGUGCCGUGAGGUGUCGGCUUAAGUGC